CAACACUUGCCGGUUCCCGACACUCCUGACUUUCCGUGCUGGCUGCAAAAUGACAUCCCGCCUCCCUGCUCCGAACUUCAAACUCCAGAGGAUCAUAUCUCACCCAACCUCAGUCCAUGUUCCUGACCUCCUGGCUCCAGAAAAGGACAGUUGACCAAAUUAGGCCAAUGAAGAUAUUUCUGGAACUGCUGCUAGAGUUUUGGGAAGGAUGCUCUUAUUCAGCAGGGAAAGUUAAGACAGCAAGAUCUAACCCUAAAGACGCUAGGAGCUCUCCUCGUCAGUAAGGGAACAGCCUGCCUAGGAAGGAAGCCAAUGCGAAGGAAAGCAUAGUCAGGAUCUGGGGAGGUAGUGUCAUGUCACCUUCAUCUGAAUACCUGGAUCUAGCUGCACCUGAAGCAGCCGGAUCUGAUGGUAAUACAGAAUUGACAGUAAAAUGAAAUAAUACAUUCCUUUUAGUUGUUAAUUAAACCCAUGUGGAUUGGGAUUUCUCUCACAUUUACAGGAAAAGUCCUGAUAUAUUUAUAUUUUCCUGAGUCCUUAUAAAGAAAAUACACCGUAGGCAUCAUUCAUCCCUUCUGUGCAAGGUGAGGAAGCAGAGACUUAAUGACCAAGCAAUCUGCUGAGAUUCUACCUCUUCAAGUGGAAGUGCUGGGACUCAUGCCUGAGCUUCUGUCACUGCAGCUCUUCUCAUGUUAUCAUUCACAGGUUAGAGCUGAAACAUUCGUAUUGUCUAGGGUACUCACUGCCUUCCCCCUCUAUCUCGGCCUGAGUUACAGUGUUCGUUUGUGCCGUAUUUGGGUUAUAAACAGUAUUUAACUGAAUACUCAAGUAUAUCGUUGGGCUGAAGCUGAAAGGCCCCACCCAAAUCGUUGGUGAUUAAGAAUUUGUUGUAACCUUCUCAUUUUAACAAACCACCUAUUUUCAAGACGAUUUAAAGGGAAGACUUUCACUAUGGCAUCGUUUUGAAGAUCCAAAGCGUGAGGCCGUCUGAGCAGUGAAAUGAUGUUACAAUGAUCUUUCAAGUACAGCGUGGCGAUCUCAUCUGCCUUUUUAUAGGCCCAGGACAAAGAUGCUCAACAGUCUUGGAUACAGGGAAGAGAGCAGACACUCCAGGUCUUAGAAAUAAACCUGAUCUCACAUUAGAACCCAUGGUUCCUCGUUUAAGAAACUAAGGUUCUGGGGCUUCCCUGGUGGUACAGUGGUUAAGAAUCCGCCUACCAAUGCAGGGGACAUUGCAGGGCUCGGGUUCGAGCCCUGGUCCGGGAAGAUCCCACAAGCUGCGGAGCAACUACGCCCGUGCAGCACAACUACUGAGCCUGCGCUCUAAAGCCCGUGUGCCACAACUACUGAAGCCCGCGCGCCACAACUACUGAGGCCCGCGUGCCUAGAGCCCGUGCUCCGCAGCAGGAGAGGCCACCGCAGUGAGAAGCCUGCGCUCCGCAACAAAGAGUAGCCCCUGCUCGCUGCAACUGGAGGGGGCCUGUGCGCAGCAACAAAGACCCAACGCAGCCAAAAAUAAAUAAACAAAUAAAUAAAUAAAUAGAAAGAAAGAAAGAAACCAAGGUUCUGGAACUGCAAAACCUUAUCUGAAGAUGUGAUCAUUGCAACGGUAAUAAGGCAAUGGUAACAGCACAAUAUAUUUUGUUAUGUAUUACAGCAACCCUAAACCAGCCCAUGAAUUAAAUAAAGUUGUGCAAGUAGGCGAAUGCAGACAGUGGAAGCUGUAUGGCCAUCUGAAAGCCUGGGCAUUUACUCUGAGGAGCAUCUGUCAGCUGGCAUUACACAUGUCCCAGGAUAAACUGGGUAAGGCAGCAGAAAGUGCUAGGGUGAAGUCUUUCAGAGACCCAGCUCUAGCUGUGAGCUCCAUGAACCUGGGCAAGUUCCCUAAACCUCUGGGCCUGUUUUCUUACCUAUGAAACAGGAUGAUAGCGCUAUCACAGACUUGUAAGAGUGUAUGAGAAUUUGGCCUGCAUUUUUUUCAAUUUCCUUUUAAAGGCAACCCCUGAAUUUGAGAGGCCAUGAUUUUAUCACUGUUUUUAAAAUCAUAACCAAGUUCACCCUCCAGUAAUAAAUUGCAGUUUCUGAC